AAUGAACGCUGGCGGCGUGCGUAACACAUGCAAGUCGAACGAGAAAUUCCGGGCUUGCUCGGGAGAGUAAAGUGGCGAACGGGUGAGUAACGCGUGGGUAACCUGCCCCUGAAUCUGGAAUAACUCGCCGAAAGGCGUGCUAAUACCGGAUAUUGUCUUUGGAGUGUUGCUUCAAUGAUGAAAGGUGACCUCUCCUUGGAAGUUGCCGUUCAGGGAUGGGCCCGCGUACCAUUAGCUUGUUGGUGGGGUAAUGGCCUACCAAGGCGACGAUGGUUAGCUGGUCUGAGAGGAUGAUCAGCCACACUGGAACUGAAACACGGUCCAGACUCCUACGGGUGGCAG
rnacentral:rRNA from 1 species